AAGCUCGUAGUUGAAUUUCGGGAUUAGUGCGCCGGUCGUGCCUUCGGUAUGUACUGGUGUUACUGAUUCCUACCUUCUGACGAACCGUCAUGUCAUUAAUUUGGUGUGGCGGGGAAUCAGGACUGUUACUUUGAAAAAAUUAGAGUGUUUAAAGCAGGCUCGCGCUUGAAUACAUUAGCAUGGAAUAAUGAAAUAGGACGUUCGAUCCUAUUUUGUUGGUUUCUAGGAUUGACGUAAUGAUUAAUAGGGAUAGUUGGGGGCAUUAGUAUUCAAUUGUCAGAGGUGAAAUUCUUGGAUUUAUUGAAGACUAACUACUGCGAAAGCAUUUGCCAAGGAUGUUUUCAUUAAUCAAGAACGAAAGUUAGGGGAUCGAAGACGAUCAGAUACCGUCGUAGUCUUAACCAUAAACUAUGCCGACUAGGGAUCGGAUGAUGUUAUUUUUAAUGACUCAUUCGGCGCCUUACGGGAAACCAAAGUGUUUGGGUUCCGGGGGGAGUAUGGUCGCAAGGCUGAAACUUAAAGGAAUUGACGGAAGGGCACCACCAGGGGUGGAGCCUGCGGCUUAACUUGACUCAACACGGGGAAA
rnacentral:rRNA from 1 species